rnacentral:rRNA from 1 species
AUACGGAGGGUGCGAGCGUUAAUCGGAAUUACUGGGCGUAAAGCGCGCGUAGGCGGCUAGAUCAGUCGGAUGUGAAAGCCCUGGGCUUAACCUGGGAACUGCAUUCGAUACUGUCUAGCUAGAGUAUGGUAGAGGGAAGCGGAAUUCCGGGUGUAGCGGUGAAAUGCGUAGAUAUCCGGAGGAACACCAGUGGCGAAGGCGGCUUCCUGGACCAAUACUGACGCUGAGGUGCGAAAGCGUGGGGAGCAAACAGGAUUAGAAACCCCAGUAGUCC